GUGGAAACUGAGCUAUAGGUUUGAAUUUGUUUUGUGGAAACUGAGUGAGGUGGAGUUAUCAGCUUGCUUCCUGAUAAUCUUAACGAAAUUGGUGUGGAGUACGUUGAUAAUCUUACGAAAUUGGUGUGGAGUACGUUGAGCUACUACUUGAAAUGGCCGGGAUGCUUCAACGGUUGCAGAUGCAGCGAUGAAUGUAAGGUCUAAGUCUAUCCACCUCUUGGCCCAACUAAUUGAGAAAGAGUUGAUCAGCUUAAUCUACUGUUGUUAAUUAAUAUGGGAUUCUUUUAUAAGAGACACAAGAGGUACAAGGAGGGCAGAAAGCCAGGUUCAUGAUUAAACAUUCAAGAUGGGUCUUUGAGUUUAUUUACUUUAGGGCUAUGGUUUCUUCUGCUUUACAUCUUAUUGUGGUAGAAGUCGAACACUUUAGUGGGUUUUCAAACUUGGGCUUCUUCCUCUAGAGGUGUUUCAAGUUAGAGUGAGUUUUGUAAAGGAUGUGCAAAAGCAAGAGGCAUGGUGGGAAAGACAACAUGAACUUGCGGCUGAGAAUUUUGGGUUUUAUAGGCUCUCUUUAGUACUGGUAGUGGAAGCAAUUGGACUUGCUUGGUGAUUUUGUUGAAGGAGCUUACAGCUUGAAGAAGUUGAGAAAAGAGAAGAGCUUAAGAAAGGGAGGAAAUACAUUCUUGAAAAGUAUUGGAUAAAACUUGAAGAUGUAAGCACAAUUGUAUAUUUAUUCUAUUUAUUGGUUUUUUUGUAAUACUUAUUAAACCAAA